rnacentral:rRNA from 1 species
UAAAGCGCACGCAGGCGGUCUGUCAAGUCGGAUGUGAAAUCCCCGGGCUCAACCUGGGAACUGCAUUCGAAACUGGCAGGCUUGAGUCUUGUAGAGGGGGGUAGAAUUCCAGGUGUAGCGGUGAAAUGCGUAGAGAUCUGGAGGAAUACCGGUGGCGAAGGCGGCCCCCUGGACAAAGACUGACGCUCAGGUGCGAAAGCGUGGGGAGCAAACAGGAUUAGAUACCCUGGUAGUCCACGCCGUAAACGAUGUCUACUUGGAGGUUGUGCCCUUGAGGCGUGGCUUCCGGAGCUAACGCGUUAAGUAGACCGCCUGGGGAAUACGGCCGCAAGGUUAAAACUCAAAUGAAUUGACGGGGGCCCGCACAAGCGGUGGAGCAUGUGGUUUAAUUCGAUGCAACGCGAAGAACCUUACCUGGUCUUGACAUCCACAGAACUUUCCAGAGAUGGAUUGGUGCCUUCGGGAACUGUGAGACAGGUGCUGCAUGGCUGUCGUCAGCUCGUGUUGUGAAAUGUUGGGUUAAGUCCCGCAACGAGCGCAACCCUUAUCCUUUGUUGCCAGCGGUCCGGCCGGGAACUCAAAGGAGACUGCCAGUGAUAAACUGGAGGAAGGUGGGGAUGACGUCAAGUCAUCAUGGCCCUUACGACCAGGGCUACACACGUGCUACAAUGGCGCAUACAAAGAGAAGCGACCUCGCGAGAGCAAGCGGACCUCAUAAAGUGCGUCGUAGUCCGGAUUGGAGUCUGCAACUCGACUCCAUGAAGUCGGAAUCGCUAGUAAUCGUGGAUCAGAAUGCCACGGUGAAUACGUUCCCGGGCCUUGUACACACCGCCCGUCACACCAUGGGAGUGGGUUGCAAAAGAAGUAGGUAGCUUAACCUUCGGGAGGGCGCUUACCACUUUGUGAUUCAUGACUGGGGUGAAGUCGUAACAAGGUAACCGUAGGGGAACCUGCGGUUGGAUCACCUCCUUA